GAGAUGUGAAGAGAAUUUGUGCUAGGUGUUUGGAUUGUAAGCAUGCUAAAUCUUGUAUCCAACCCCAUGGAUCGUACACCCUUUUGCCUAUUCCUACUGGUCCUUGGCUAGAUAUUUCUAUGGAUAUUGUUGUUGGCCUCCCAAGGACUAGAAAUGGUUUUGGAAAAUUCGAGGAUGAAUUCAUUUGAAGAAGGGGAGAAUGAUGUACAUCAGAGUAACACUACUUCAGGAAGGAAAGAUCCAGCGACGAAACACGGACCUUCGUGGAACACUCUUGGAGAUUUUCAGGUAAUGGAGCUUGGAAAUGUAGAAGUCAUAGCCGAGAUCAAUAAGAGUUAGUGGUUCCGACAGUUUCCAUAGAUCAGUCAAUUUGUUAUUGAGGUAUCCGUGUGUUAAGAGUUUGCUAAACAAUUUGAUUAUGACUGAUUGAUUCCAAGGUUGGUAUAUGUACUGUUUGUUUUCCUCUGUUAACGGAAUUGAGUUUGACAGAGGAUCCUCUUCCAUAAUCUUUCCAUUGGUUCUUUCUUAAACUUGAUUGAGUUCAUUGGUUCUA